rnacentral:lncRNA from 1 species
ACCAAGCAUAACAUCCUGCAAGCCUAUAGCCCUGAAAUGCUGUGAUGCCCUGCCCUAGCCUGGUCCUCUCCACUGGUCCCCAUGACCUGCCUAGCACCAGCUUUAUCAGCCUGCUGCAGUGGGAGAAAACAGGGUCUGGGCUGCAGUGGGAGAAAACAGGGACUGGGCUGCAGUGGGAGAAAACAGGGACUGGGGCUGCAGUGGGAGAAGGGUAUGGGCUGCAGUGGGAGAAAACAGGGCUGGGCCUGCAGUGGAGAAAACAGGGACUGGGGCUGUAGUGGGAGAAAACAGGGUCUGGGGCUGCAGUGGGAGAAACAGGGUCUGGGCUACGUGGGAGAGAACAGGGUCUGGGGCUGCAGUGGGAGAAAACAGGGACUGGGGCUGCAGUGGGAGAAAACAGGGACUGGGGCAGGGACUAGCAUGCAUGACACACAGGGAUGGAGUUACAGUAACCCCCUAAAACAAAACACGCUACCAAGCAAGCCUAUCCUCUCCCCUCCUUCCCCUAUCUCUUGUCCUGUAUGGGUCAGGCUCCACGGCUCAACACACAGGCUUCUGGGCUUUCUCUCCUCAGCCAGUCAGUCAGCCAUCAGCCAGCCAGCGGGGCCGUGGACCGAGGGCGGCGUCUCUCGGUGUGUCCUGGUUAAUUCGUCCCCCAUGCUGUGGCUGUGAGAGAGGAUAUGGUGGCACCGCACCAGGCAGCCAUGAUGGUUUGCUUAGCAAGACAUUGUCAUAAUGAGGCAGAGAUAUUAUGUGAAGAGAAGACACAUUCUCUAUGUGAGGAAUGCAGCAGGGAUAUGGAAGGAAACUGUGCACAUUACUGUAACACACGUGGAGAGAACCGUUUCUACUGUCUAACUCAAUUUAACCAUGUGGACAAAAGGUCUAAUGAUUAAGUAUCUCAAACAAGGGGGAUUACGCGAAUGAGUCUCUUCAAUUUCACCUCCUUAUUGGGGCACAGAUUCAAUUAUGAAUAAAUAGAUGAAGAAACCAAAAUAACCAGCCGGUCCAUUGGUGUUGUCUCUAGGGGCUAGGGAAACAGAGGAGCAGCGAACAAGGUGGAAAGAGCUCUUACCAACACAAACUGUUAUUUUCUCUCUCAUCCCG